CAACGUUCGUCGUGGCAGCUUUAUUUGGCAAAGAUGAAGGCGAAUUCCGACAAACCGGACAAGAGUUAUGCAACUUGAGCCACGGGUCGAUGCAUUCGGUGUGGAAGCAAUGUUCACAUUCGGGUAAGCACUUAACGGUCUCUUCACUUGUGUAUUCUGAUAAACAAAUGGGACAGAGAGUGUCAUUUCGCCAAGGGACACUCUUGGCUUGUUGUUGGAUUGGGAUAAAAAUGAUACAGACGGCAGGAGUUAUCACUAUGAAGAAUGGUACGGAUAGGCAUAAGCAUAAUAUCUUUAACGUUAUUAACCAAGGGUUUCCUGAAAGAUAGAAAAAAGUCUAACAUUUUUAAGAAAAAUUGUUCUUUGAUAUGUUCUUGAUGAAGCCAAGAUUUUGAUUUCAAGUUGGGGUGUAUAUGUGAGAACUUAUAGGACGAGAGGGUUACCAGAAUCAACGUAUGUGAAGCAUUUGACUUUGAGGAUGGUAUUGUUUAUGAAGCUACAUAACGGACUAAAAUCAACACAACCUGUGCAAUCCGGUGAGUCCCAUUUCAGCCAGAGGUCUUGUUUGUUGAGAUCACCUGCGAGUGGUGAAGAGACCGGAAGAAGUAGUGUCUUCAAGGUUUGACAAGAGGACGGCAUUGAACCGGUGAGAUCUGAAGGUGUGGAAUUAGUAAGGCAAUGGAUGGGUUCCAAAGAAGAGGAUUUGACGUUUUCGUUAUGACAGCUCAAGAAAGUGUAGUUGACAAGGUGAAGAGGAGAAAAAGGAGACAUUGAAGCGUCGAAGCUGAGAAGCCGUCUGGCUAAGCAGUUAUCGGGGUCUCUAAGGUGAAUACGCUGCGACUUUAUGUCUUGGACGAGAAAUCGUCUGGAAUUUGGAAGCUUUAAGGCUGUCUCACAAUGGAGGUUGAAUCCUGGGUAGUCACAUGACGAAGAUUGCUCAGGAGAUAGCCAGAAAGGGAAGCUAACGUCAAGGUUGUUUCCUCCACAUGAAGAACUGUAGCAACGUUUUGGUUUUGAGGCAUUUAGGAGAGGAAAGUAGAAGAAGAAGAAGAAAUAGAGAAGAAGAGGGAAUUGUUUUGAGAAAGUCAUAUUGUGAGGAGAAGGAUUUGUAUACCAGAAAUACUGACUAUGAGACAAUGCACUGUGAAAGAAUCAGAGAAGCUGCUGGGAGAUUCUGAUGGAAACAAUGUCACCGUCUGUUCCUGCUUUCAUUGUGUGGUACUUCACAAGGAUUCCUGCAAUUCAAAUAUCAACUGCAUGGGGUGCAAUAACUGCUUUAGGUUGGGAAUCAUCUGCCUCUCCGGUCCAAGACUUGAGGUUGAGAAUACCUAGACAGAUUUCAUGUGGAAAUGUAUGAGAGACAAAGGAGUAUGAUUCAAAGAGGAGUAAAGGAACAUAAAAGUAAGUAAUGAAGUUACCUGAGGAUGAAGAUUUUUUAAGGUGUUUGAGGUCA
rnacentral:lncRNA from 1 species